GUGUGAAACUGACCUUCCUAGUACAAAAAUUAAUAUUGAAAAUGCUAUUAAUUUAAUAUAUCAAGCCGGUAUUAACUUAACAAUGUCAUUACACAAUAAUACUAACUUCACGAGAAAAGAUGUAGUCAAUAUACAGAAAGAAUUUUCUCAAAGUUUAUUUAAACCUAUAGCCGAUUUAUUGAAAAAUGUUGUAAAUGACUCAAUUAAAGACCCAUUAUUACUAUCUUCUUUUCAUACUAUUGUUUCAGCAAUUUCUACACCAUUCAAACUAUGCAAUUCUGAAUAUAUUUUAGAUAAAUGGUUAAAAAAUAAUAAUCUGUACUCUCAUAUAAAUCAGUUUACUAUUAACAAUGAAAUAAAUUUAGUUUCUUCUCUUGGUGAAACCAAUUAUAGUGAACAUAUUACAAAAGGAAUUUUAAUGCCACUACAAUUUCAAUUUAAAUCAUAUUUUGAGCAUAAUGAUAAUUUACACAGCACAUUAACAGAAUAUGAGCAUUUAAUGAACACUUCAGAUGACACAGUCUUAGCACAUUUUGUUCAGGGUGCUUUAUGGAAGGAUAAAAUCGCUCCAUAUCAUAAUAACAUUGUAAUACCAUAUUUUUUAUAUGUUGACGACUUUGAGGUAAAUAACCCAUUAAGUUCUCACUCGUCUUGCCAUUCCAUUUGUGCUAUAUAUUAUAGUUUCCCUUUAAGUGACCAAUCUAAAUUAUGUAAUAUAUUUAUUGCAGCCUUACUAAAAUCAGUUGAUAUGAAACAAUUUGGUAAUGACCUAUGUUUACAAACAUUAAUUAAUGAGUUAAAUGAGCUUGAAGUAGAUGGCAUACUUAUUUUGACUAAAGAAGGUUUAAAAAAAGUUCAUUUUGUAUUAGGUUUACUUGUUGGCGACAACUUAGGUUUGAAUACUAUUUUAGAAUUUAGCAAGUCUUUUUCAGCGAAUUAUUUCUGCAGGUUUUGCAAAGAGAAUAAAAGUUUUACACAAAAAGCAUCAGAAGAAAAUGUUUUAUUACUUCGUAAUUCUGAAAACUAUGCAGAAGAUAUUAAUACAAAUGAUUUCAAAUUAACCGGUAUUUACAAAGAGCCAGUUUUUAACAAAUUAAUUUCAUUCCACGCAACAACAAAUUUUAGUGUUGAUUUGAUGCAUGAUAUUUUUGAAGGCAUCUGUCAUUACAACCUUUGCCACAUUAUUAAAUAUUACACAGAGAGUGUAUGCAUUUUUUCAUUAGAUACUUUAAAUUUAAGAAAACAAAACUUUAAUUAUGGUUGUAUUGAAAUUGGCAACAUCUCCCCUCCUAUUAAAUUAAAUAAUAUCAAAAAAUUUCACUUAAAAAUGACAGCCCGAGAAAUGAUAACAUUUGUUCACUUCUUUUCCUUAAUGGUUGGUGACUUAGUCCCAGAUGAUGAUCCAGUAUGGAUGUUUUUUUUAAAUUUUUCAAAAAUCAUAACUAUUCUCCUUUCAUACCAAAUUAAAGAAAACUCAAUCAUCCGUUUAGAACAACUUAUUAGGUAUCAUAAUUUAAAUUAUGUUUUACUUUUUCAAGAUACAUUGAAACCUAAACACCAUAUUCUAUUACAUUAUCCAUCAAUUAUUCGAAAAUCUGGCCCACCUAAACAUUUUUGGUGUUUUAGGUUUGAAGCCAAACAUAAAGACUUAAAAACAUACGCUCGCAAUAUUAGCUCUAGAAAAAAAUAUCACAUUAUCAUUAGCAAAAAAGUAUCAAUAUAGUUUUGCAUUCAACAUAUUAAACAAUAUAAAUAACAAAAAUAUUGAAAUGAAUGAAAUACAUAAAAUAAUAAGUAACAAUACUAUAUUUUUAGAUAGAAUUUUUGGCUAUCCAUCUGAUAAUUUAUUAAGUUACUCCCAAGUUAAGUAUAAGGGUACUAAAUUUAAAACUGGAUAUUUUUUGACAAACUUUGUUGAUGAAGUUUGUCUUUAUGAGAUUUUAGAAAUAGUUUUUAACAUGAAUACUUUGGUAGUUUUCUUUAUAGUUCAUCAAAUCGAAAUUGAUGCUUAUUAUUCUAAUUUAAGAGCUUAUAAGGUUAAUACAAAUAAAAACAUAAUAUUAAAAACUGUUUUGUAUCCAGAAGACUGUAAUGGACCUCCAAUUAAUAUUAAUCAAACUAUUAAUGGGCAUUUAUUCAUAAGGUUAAAAAAAUAUUAUUAAAUAUUAUUGUUACACAUUUAAUGUAAAUAUUGCUUAAUUUAAAUUUAUAAGUUAUCCAUAGUAAAUUAUAUAAGUACCCACUACCUUCCCUUUGUAUUGUAUUGUGUACCUAUUAUAAAAUCAUAUUUUUCUUUGUAUAGAAUUUUUUUAUAUAAUACAUUCCUGAUUCCUAUAUAAUAGACCGUUGGUUAUUAGAAAAUUCUAAUAAUUCUGAGCAUGAAAUAUAUACCGAAAUUGGUGGACCAACGUCAUCUAUAACAAAUCAUGAAAAUUCUUCAACUGCCUACAUGAAUAAUGACGAGUGUAUGGAAAUAUGGAACAUCCUAAAGUCGUGGAAACUUGAGUCUGUUUAUCAAACUUGCAUAGAUCAGUUUAUAGAUGUUGAAGUGUUGAAGUAUAUGAAGUACAGACAUGUUGAAAAAUUGUUAGUAAACUUUCCACUUGGUUUACAAAUUAAAUUUGAAAAAUAUGUCAAUGGGUAUCAACAAAAACAGUUGGAACAACUUGAUUGUUCGGUCUUAGAAACCAAGUCGAUCCCAUCAACUUCCACUCAACAUUUUGUUUCAUCAAACUCCUCUACAAAGAAUCUACCAGAAAGUUGUUUUGAUUUAAGUCAAAUUUUAACUCGAAGUACCCAAGGUCCAUUAAUUGUGGACUAUUAUUUUAAACACAAACUUCUGAAUGAAUCGUGUCAUACUUUACUUGUUGAAAUUAUCAUUAAUGAUUUGAUUAAGAGAAAUCAGACUAUGACUAUUAAUCUAUCCAAUGAUAUAGCCAAUGCUAUUUUACUGUCAUUUCCAUCAGAAAUAAAGGAUGUAUAUUUUUUAAGGGAUGUAUCUUGUAAAGCUCCAAAAGGGAAACUUUACUCAAAAUAUUUCAAUGCAAUGAAGAAAUUACAAAGUGUUGGAUUAAAAUCCACUAGUAAAACAUACGAGAAUAAUAAGAAAAUUCUUUGUAGAUCUGAAGAUUGACUUGAUUAUUCACUCGAAAUGGAACCCGAAUCUGAAGAUUUGUGUGCAAGUUUACAAGAUUCAGACUUAACUUGGCCUGAAAUUGAGACAAUUUGGAAAAAAACUAACAAUUUUAGGCUUCAAUAUAUUAAGAAUAACAACACAGCGUCUAUUUUCAAAAAAUGGAUACAGUUUACUCAACCAAUGGGCUAUAAAUUGGUAGAGAUAGAUUUCUGUCACAUGUACUCAAACUUUAAAAACCUACCAGCCAAAUUUGAAAGAAAGUCAUCUUUGCUAUUGAAAAUAUUUGACGAAAGAAUAAAAGAUAAUGCAAGUAAAAUAUUAUUAAAUCAAUUAAAAGAAUCUCCUGAUUUAUGCGAAAAUGGGAAAAACUUGGUUAUAUUUUAUUUGAUGCAUUCGUUAUUUGUACCUUCAUCAAGAAAAAUUACCAGAGAUGACAAUGGAAAAAAAUCUGUCAUAAAAUAUUCCAUAAAAGAUUCUCAAAAUACAUUUAUUAUAGAAGCAUCUACUCCCCUUGAACUAGAAGUCAUCAUAGAGAAACUGAAAAAACAAGAAAAUAAUAUACAGCCAUGUAUACUAGUUGUUGGCUCAUUAUUAAACCCUAAACAAAUAAUAGUAUAUUUCGAUGAUGUUAAAUACAAGUUGUUUUCUGUUUUUAAAGCUAUCGAUAUUUGUUUUAAGCUAUUCCAUGUUUUUAAUCUUGAAUAUCCAUAUGAAUCAAGUAACGUGUGGUUAUUUUUGCAAAAUUAUUUUUAUGAAAUUAACACUAAAUAUGACAAAAGUUUUAGUUUAGUAAAGCAAAUUUGCUCAGAAUUAGAUGCAAAUUAUAAUAUUUAAAACUAAUGUAUUAUUAAGAGUUCCCUAGCCAAUUUUAAUUUUUUUUUAUAUUACAAACCCAACAUUUAUGAUUUAUAAGUACCUAUAAGUAUAUAUUUUUUUUUGUAAUCGUAAGUCGUUUAGGAACAACAGUUCUUCAUUUUUUUUUUUUUUGUUAUAUCUAGUUUUACAUUAUAAUUUUUAAUUUGUAUUAAUAUUUUCUAUAUACUAGAACCAUUUGUUUA